CAGAAUUCGUUGUCCAAGAAGGUCGACUAGGUAGUCGAAUACCGGUCGAGCAGUAUUGAGCGGUGUAACUGCCGAAGUUUCAUGGUAGUUCGUAACGCAACCGCACUGAUCCAAGACUUGCACAGGCGUACUCAUAACUAUGAUAUACUGUAAGUACGUUGUUGAGGAGUUGCUAACAACUCAAGGUAACGUUUUGUAAUAUAAAAUGAUUAUCCCAGUACGUUGUUUUACCUGUGGCAAAGUAAUUGGCAACAAAUGGGAGGCGUAUUUAGGACUAUUGCAGGCAGAAUACACAGAAGGCGAUGCACUGGAUGCUCUGGGUUUGAAGAGAUAUUGCUGUCGUCGAAUGUUGCUUGGACACGUUGACCUGAUUGAGAAACUGCUAAAUUAUGCUCCGCUCGAAAAGUAGGAAGCCGAGCUGUGGGAACGACGACUGAACUUCAUUUUCCAUUCAUUGGAUGACCGAUAUCAUGACUACAAUAAAAGGCUUUUGCGAAAACUUGUAUUCAUGUGAAAUAUUUAUUUCGUUCUCUGUUUCUUACAUCGACUGUAACCAAAUCUCAUAGCAUAUUUGGUGAUACAUUAAAAAAUACAUGUUUUGAAGGCAAUUUAGCUACCAUAAAAAUAUCCCCAAAGACGAGGCUGCUGCUCAUAAAAACUUUCUGAAAGUGGCGUAAAUUCGAUGCUAUUUAUUAUCAAGCUAUCGAAUAUUCAUCCUAGACAUGUUGUAAAUAGGUAUUACCCAUGAAUAGGGCUUACGAGUAUUUUAAAUGCUGUAAAAAAUAAAUACGCACCCUAUUCUGAUUUUAGUCUAAUGAUUAAAGAUAUUUUUCAAUGAUAUGAUCGUUAAGUUUAUUAAAUGAUUUGAAUACCUAACUAUACAUACUUUCGAGUCGAUCGAACUUAUCGCAUUUAUUCAUACAUUUUCAGCCUAUCAACAUUAUUGCAAUUUAGAUACCAAUCACAGUUCUGAUAUAUUGUCAUAACUUUUAAACACCGUGUUGAAUUCUGGUCGUAAAUUGGAUUAAAAUUCCUCGCGUUGUUUUAUAUCAUAAUACAACGCUUCCAUUAAUUCGAAUAGUAUUCAUCAUUCUAACGGACAUUCAUUUUGUGCAUUAAAUUUUCC
rnacentral:misc_RNA from 1 species